rnacentral:rRNA from 1 species
GACGAACGCUGGCGGCGUGCCUAAUACAUGCAAGUCGAGCGAAUCAAUGGGAGCUUGCUCCCUGAGAUUAGCGGCGGACGGGUGAGUAACACGUGGGUAACCUGCCUGUAAGACUGGGAUAACUUCGGGAAACCGGAGCUAAUACCGGAUAAUUUCUUUUCUCGCAUGAGGAGAGAUGGAAAGAUGGUUCUGCUAUCACUUACAGAUGGACCCGCGGCGCAUUAGCUAGUUGGUGAGGUAACGGCUCACCAAGGCGACGAUGCGUAGCCGACCUGAGAGGGUGAUCGGCCACACUGGGACUGAGACACGGCCCAGACUCCUACGGGAGGCAGCAGUAGGGAAUCUUCCGCAAUGGACGAAAGUCUGACGGAGCAACGCCGCGUGAGCGAAGAAGGCCUUCGGGUCGUAAAGCUCUGUUGUUAGGGAAGAACAAGUACGAGAGUAACUGCUCGUACCUUGACGGUACCUAACCAGAAAGCCACGGCUAACUACGUGCCAGCCGCCGCCGUAAAAC